CGUUUCUCUAUUGUCUACUCUCGAUGAUUACUAUCUAAACAAGAUGCUACUUAGGCUGCGUUUAGUGGGCUAACUGGUUCUCAUUAUCAUUUCAAAGUUUAGCUUUUUGUAUGAGUUGGCUACACUUGGCAGAUUCUUGUGCUCUGGUUGAUUAGAUAGCUUAGGAAGCCAUGAGAAAUAACUUUAGAAUGUAUCUACUUCACUGUUAUGAUUAGAGACUCUUCCUUAAUAAACUUGUUGAAAAAUGUCUUCUUUUGGCAGGGAUGGUUUGAUCUAGCUAGUGCUCGACACUCUAUGGGAACUUUACGUAUCAACAGCACUCUCUUAGACCUCAAGGAUCAUUCUGCGGCUUCAACAUUGCAAGUGACUGACCAAGAGGACAUAUACUUAUAUGUCUAUUACCAACCCGCUAGAGUUGAGUAAACGCUUCUGUGGCAGAGUAUUUGGUUGAUAUGGGUGCUCUCAACUGCCUCCUUCCCACCGACCAGCCUCGACUCAGCGAACAUAUGGAUGACAUCAUUAAGAUGAUUGAAAAGGUUAUUGAGAAUGAUUGUGGGUAUGUUAUGGAAUGAGGCGAUGUGUUCUUCUCUGUCGACAAAUCACUAGACUAUGGUAAGUUGUCAGGUCAGCGGAUGGAACAUACACGGGCUAGUGAGCGAGAAUCACUAGACUAUGGCCUUGGGAUGAAGAAUUUUCUUUGGUGAAUUGCAGAACUUUUAAGUUAGGUGAUAUGUAUAGCCUUUGUAUGUUGAGUUUGAGACAUCAGCCUUUGUAGCAGGGUUUGAGUAUUGAUCAUUGUCUGAGAGCAAGAGAUACCAUCAAUUAUGCAUUAAUCAUGUUUUCAUUUCCUUGUUUUUAAUGAAAGUGUA